AACCUUUGUUGGUCUUUUGGCUAAGAUCAAGUAUAGUACUACUUUCUCGGCCUUUUGGCUAACCUUUCUCGACCUUUUAGCUAAGAUCAAGUAUAGUACUAAAAUAUUUUGAGUCUGGUCAACUAGAGUAGGUUACUACUUUAGUGAUCCUAGCAUUUCCUUGGCGUUGCACUACUACCAAGUUUUGGUAUACCCUCC